rnacentral:rRNA from 1 species
AGAGUUUGAUCAUGGCUCAGGAUGAACGCUGGCGGCGUGCCUAAUACAUGCAAGUCGAACGAGAUGUAGCGAUACAUCUAGUGGCGAACGGGUGAGUAACACGUAUUCAAUCUGCCCUAACGACUGGGAUACCCUCGGGAAACCUUGGCUAAUACCGGAUAGGAAAUCGAAUCGCAUGAUUUGAUUUUUAAAGGAUCUUUUGAUUCACGAUAGGAUGAGAAUGCGGCGCAUUAGUUAGUUGGUGAGAUAAAAGCCCACCAAGACGAGGAUGCGUAGCCGACCUGAGAGGGUGAUCGGCCACAAUGGAACUGAGACACGGUCCAUACUCCUACGGGAGGCAGCAGUAGGGAGUUUUCGGCAAUGGGGGCAACCCUGACCGAGCAACGCCGCGCGAGUGAUGAAGGCCCUAUGGGUCGUAAAAUUCUGUUAUAUGGGACGAACCAUAUCACUGAGAGAAACGGUGGUAUCUGACUGUACCAUAUGAGAAAGGAACGGCUAACUACGUGCCAGCAGCCGCGGUAAUACGUAGGUUCCAAGCGUUAUCCGGAAUUAUUGGGCGUAAAGAGUGAGCAGGCGGCUUUCUAAGUCUGAAGUCAAAUCCGGUGGCUUAACCAUCGUUCGCUUUGGAAACUGGAAGGCUAGAGUUCGGGAGAGGUAAAUGGAACUCCAUGUGUAGCGGUAAAAUGCGUAGAUAUAUGGAAGAACACCAGUGGCGAAGGCGAUUUACUAGACCGAUACUGACGCUCAGUCACGAAAGCGUGGGUAGCAAAUAGGAUUAGAUACCCUAGUAGUCCACGCCGUAAACGAUGAGUACUAAGUGUAGGGGUUACCCUGUGCUGAAGUUAACACAUUAAGUACUCCGCCUGGGUAGUACGUUCGCAAGAAUGAAACUUAAAGGAAUUGACGGGAGCCCGCACAAGCAGUGGAGCAUGUGGUUUAAUUCGACGCUACGCGAAGAACCUUACCAGGACUUGACAUGGAGGUAAAGGCCCUAGAGAUAGGGAGAUAGUUAUACCUCACACAGGUGGUGCAUGGUUGUCGUCAGCUCGUGUCGUGAGAUGUUGGGUUAAGUCCCGCAACGAGCGCAACCCUUGUCCUUAGUUACCAUCUUUAAGUUGGGGACUCUAAGGAGACUGCCGGUGUAAGCCGGAGGAAGAUGGGGAUGACGUCAAAUCAUCAUGCCCUUUAUGUCCUGGGCGACACACGUGCUACAAUGGUCGGCACAAAGAGAAGCAAGACAGUGAUGUGGAGCAAAUCUCAAAAAGCCGAUCUCAGUUCGGAUUGUAGUCUGCAACUCGACUACAUGAAGCUGGAAUUGCUAGUAAUCGCGAAUCAGCCAUGUCGCGGUGAAUACGUUCCCGGGCUUUGUACACACCGCCCGUCAAACCAUGAGAGCUGGUAAUACUCGAAGCCGGUAUCCUAACCGUAAGGAGGGAGCCGUCUAAGGUAGGACUGGUGAUUGGGGUUAAGUCGUAACAAGGUAACC